rnacentral:lncRNA from 1 species
CGUUAUGUGUCAUGUCCGGAAAUGCCAGACGUUCAAGUCAAAUUAUUACUAUUAGAUAAUAAUUAUCAAAUAUAAAUAAAAGUACUAUAUAAUAGGUGAAGCUAAAAAGUUUUACGAACUAAAUAAGGCCUAAGUUUCCCGACCUCCCUCACAUUCUCAUGACCAGUGGAGUGCUGCCGAUUUUUUUAUCUUAUUUUAUUAUAUGGUGUGGUGAACUGACAUGCAGGACUGAGGUGCAUUGAAGCCGGGUCCCAUGUACUUAAGAUUGUAUUUUUUUGGGAUAAAUUUUGAAUUCUAAUAUUAUAUUUUUUUUUGAGACGAAGGGAUUAGUGAUGAGUAUGCCAAAAGGUCAAGGAGGUAGCCGCCAUGAUUGGCUUGGAUGGAGUCCAAACGCGUACUUUUGUCAAAGAUGCCGACGUGAGUUGGCUUAGGGCGUUGAAUUUGACAUGAAAGCGGCAGCGAACCAUCGCCGUCGUAUUUGCCGCCGCUGCUCAUUUGUUUGCUUGGGCCUUGUUUA